AAAGUACUCCCUCUGUCCCAAAAUUCUUGUCUUAGAUUUGUCUAGAUACGGAUGUAUCAAGUCACAUUUUAGUAUUAGAUACAUCCGUAUCUAGACAAAUCUAAGACAAGAAAUUUGGGACAGAGGAAGUAGUUG
rnacentral:pre_miRNA from 1 species